rnacentral:lncRNA from 1 species
UUCCGGUUCUAUAUGUUAAUAGGUUUUACAUAGUUACCCCUCCCCCAGCUCUUUGUUGCCUUUCUGUGUCUCAUUCUAUUCUAACUCAUGUUUAUCUUUUAGUUCAACUCUUUGUAACAUCCCUGCAUAUCAGGAAUCUUGUCUUAUUGGUGUCUACAGAGCUCUAGGGGCCACUGAAGAAAAUGUCUCUGGUGGACUCUGGCAACCUUCAGCUGAAAUUUCUAUCCAAGAGAUGUGGCUUUCUUGCUGUGCGAAUGUAAAAUCUUCCAAGACAAGAACAAUGUUUAACUUAUUUGGUGUCCCCUAAAAUGCUGUGUGUUGCACUUUUCUUAUAGGAAAUGCCGACUAAAUGAAAUCUAUGUAUAACUGAACCCAUGGUGUGCUCUUUACACUAUUACCAUACAGAUCACUAUUUUAUCUCACUUAAAAUCCUAAUUAAUUUAUUGAGGUUCAUAUUUAUAGUUACAAGAAUAAAUGCAAAAUAAAGUUAUGUUGAAAGAAAGAU